GGCCUGGUAGCUCAGUUGGUUAGAGUUUUGGCCUGAUACGCCAAGAUUGCAGGUUCAAUCCCUGGUCAGGGCA